AGGGGGGUGAAUUGGGUGUUUUAAAACUUUUUGUCCAAUUAAAAAUAAAACACACAAAUGUAUGAGCUAAGGUAAAAAUAAAGGUAUGAAAACAGACAAUCGCAAACACAAGAUUUUAUAGUGGUUCGGAGCUUCCACUGCUCCUACAUCCACUCCCCAAAGCACCUUUGAGAAUUUCCACUAUAAUUCAAGAUUACAGUCCGGUAGUUUUGCGAGUGCACUACCCAACUCGUUGUUUUACACCGGGCUAACAACGAACCCUACAACCCCCAAUUUCACCUAGGCUUGGGACGUCUUUUCCUUGUUCCAAGUCCCUUGACUGGAACAAGCACAAUAACCAAAGGUUUUACAAAAGAUUUGAAAGCUCUAAAUAAGCAGAUAAAACAGUGAGAAAUAACAAAACCCGGAAGAACCCUUUUAGCCGUUGGAAGCGUGGGAAAUGGU
rnacentral:lncRNA from 1 species